UACGUAGGGGGCAAGCGUUGUCCGGAAUCAUUGGGCGUAAAGAGCGUGUAGGCGGCCUGGUAAGUCCGCUGUGAAAGUCCAGGGCUCAACCCUGGAAUGCCGGUGGAUACUGUCGAGCUCGAGUCCGGAAGAGGCGAGUGGAAUUCCUGGUGUAGCGGUGAAAUGCGCAGAGUAUCAGGAAGAACACCUAUGGCGAAGGCAGCUCUCUGGGACGGUACUGACGCUGAGACGCGAAGCGUGG
rnacentral:rRNA from 1 species